rnacentral:rRNA from 1 species
UAACGCGAAGAACCUUACCUGGGCUUGACAUGUUCCUGACCGCCGUGGAAACACGGCUUCCCUUCGGGGCAGGAUCACAGGUGGUGCAUGGCUGUCGUCAGCUCGUGUCGUGAGAUGUUGGGUUAAGUCCCGCAACGAGCGCAACCCCCGUCGCAUGUUGCCAGCAUUUAGUUGGGGACUCAUGCGAGACUGCCGGUGACAAACCGGAGGAAGGUGGGGAUGACGUCAAGUCAUCAUGCCCCUUAUGUCCAGGGCUACACACGUGCUACAUUGGCGCGUACAGAGGGCUGCGAUACCGCGAGGUGGAGCGAAUCCCUCAAAGCGCGUCUCGGUUCGGAUUGCAGGCUGAAACCCGCCUGCAUGAAGGUGGAGUUGCUAGUAAUCGCGGAUCAGCACUGCCGCGGUGAAUACGUUCCCGGGUCUUGUACACACCGA